GAGGGAGAGUGGAAGAGCGAGAAAGACGCUUGAAUACAUUAGGUGGAGGACGAGGUGAAAACAGUGUGUUACCAUGACAAAGAGAAGCCCCCAGCCACAGCAGCGCUCCACUCGCACAAAUUGAGCGAGAAUAUUCCCAGGCAUGCUCCCACUCUCUGCCAAGGCGUACGAGGUUCUGAACGUCCCUGGAACAUUCUCCUUAGAGGGAAGAAAGGGGGCCGGGAAUAUCAGGAAUCAUCAAUAAAGGAAUGAAAAAGCUUCCAGUUCCAGCCAAUGAAGUACUCCCUCUCUCCCUCUCCGGGCCUUCCUAUUGGCUGAAUCCAUACCUGUAUACCUGCCUGACUCUAUGUUCCCACGGCAACACAAUGCCGCCCUAUAUUUUGGCUGCACCCUCUGAUUAUCUCAAGCCUGGUCCAUCUGGAAUGAGGAGGAGGAGGACAGUGGUGGCAGGAUACAGAAGAACAGCAGGAACUGCCUUUCCUCUCUUCUCCUCUGGGCUAACACACUCUACUGU